rnacentral:antisense_RNA from 1 species
CUUGACCGACCCCAGCCACAGCGGACGAUCCUCCGGCCGGUCCCGUCCGUAGGUCGCCAGGAGCGCCUGGGCCUC